rnacentral:rRNA from 1 species
AGCGAACGCUGGCGGCAGGCCUAACACAUGCAAGUCGAACGAACUCUUCGGAGUUAGUGGCGGACGGGUGAGUAACACGUGGGAACGUGCCUUUAGGUUCGGAAUAACUCAGGGAAACUUGUUCUAAUACCGUAUGUGCCCUUCGGGGGAAAGAUUUAUCGCCAUUGGAGCAGCCCGCGUUGGAUUAGGUAGUUGGUGAGGUAAAGGCUCACCAAGCCUACGAUCCAUAGCUGGUCUGAGAGGAUGACCAGCCACACUGGGACUGAGACACGGCCCAGACUCCUACGGGAGGCAGCAGUAGGGAAUCUUGCGCAAUGGGCGAAAGCCUGACGCAGCCAUGCCGCGUGUAUGAUGAAGGUCUUAGGAUUGUAAAAUACUUUCACCGGGGAAGAUAAUGACGGUACCCGGAGAAGAAGCCCCGGCUAACUUCGUGCCAGCCGCCGCAGUAACAC